GCCUGUUCACCCUGGUGACUGGAAACAUGUUGCUGGAAUCCCAGCCUUCCUGGACGCCCAUCCUGCUCAAGUCAAAACGCCUCAAAACACUUCUGUAAACGCUAACAGCAGCUUCAAGGCAUCCCAGUCCAAGGCCACAGAAAGUAGAAUCGACUGAUAAGAAACUCAGGACUGACUUCCCGAAGCACCACACUGACAGGGAGAUUGACUGAGUUUCUGCACAUGCCGUAAUCAUGCCCAAACAAAGCUCUGUCGCCUCCCCCUCUGGAUGGACACAGCCGGGAACACGCGGAGUCUGCAGAGAUGUCGGAUUUGCUUCUUUGUGUACUUUUUAGGCCUCUAUCACUCUCCUUGGCAGUCAAAAUUAAAGAUUUUCAAGGCAAAAGGCUGCUCCCUUAUUUCUUGGCUUCGUUUCACCAAUUCAUCUUUUGCUGUUGUUUCUUUAAAAAAAAAAAAAAAUCCCAGCACUUGGGGAGGCAGAGGCAGGCGGAUUUCUGAGUCCCAGGCCAGCCUGGUCUACAAAGUAAGUUCCAAGACAGCCAAGGCUAUACAGAGAAACCCUGUCUCGAACCCGCCCCCCCCCCCAAAAACAAAAUUAAAAAUAAAAUCUUGUGUGCUUUUUUGACUCAUUCCUCUCUCACCUCAUUCAGGAAAUUUCAACUUUUCUCAUAGUAAAGCCUUUUUUUUUUUUUUUAAAAAAAAAAGUGUUUAUCUAUUAUAUGUAAGUACACUGUAGCUGUCUUCAGACACUCCAGAAGAGGGCAUCCGAUCUCAUUCCAGAUGGUAGUGAGCGACCAUGUGGUUGCUGGGGUUUGAACUCAAGACCUCCAGAAGAUCAAUCAGUGCUCUUAACCUCUGAGCCAUCUCUCCAUAGUAAACCCUACUAAUUAACUGUAUUCAAGCAGUAACUUUUAACAAAUUGUGACUUGAACUAGAAUUUCCUUCCUAGGCUCAUAUAUUUGAAUGUUUGGUCCCCAGUGGAUAGAACUCUUUGAGAAUGGUGGAGGAGGUGUGUCACAGGAGGUAGGCUUUGAGGUUUCAAAAGCCCACACCAAGUCCUGUUUCACUUCCCCUCUAUCUCUGCCUGCUGCCUUUGGAUCAGAAACUGAGCUCUCACUACUGCUCCAGCGCCAUGCCUGCGUGCUGCCACACUCCCCACCACGGUGGGCAUGGACUAACCCUCUGAACCUAUAGCCAAGUCCCCAAUUGGAUAUUUGAAAUAAGUUGUCUUGACCAUGUGUUUUGUCACAGCAAUAGUAACCCAAAUUAAGAUACAAAUAUUCCUCUGAUCAAUUCUCCUCACAAGCCAAAGCCUGUGAUCUACCAAAUUACGUACAGUCAUUUUCCAUUCUCACAGAUUAUGUCUUACUCUGAAAUUCUAUAAAAAUCUCCCAUUAUUACCAUAUUUGAAGAAAAUGGAUUUCUUUCAGGAAUAAAACAAGAGACAAACACUUAUCAGGGAUACAAAGAUUUAAUCAAAACUAUUAACUAUUUUGAUCUAACUGGAAUCUACGCAACACUAAACAUAGCCACUGUAGAACACAUACUCUUUCUCUAGUAUAUAUGUAACAGGCUUUUAAGCUCAGGUGUUCAACACUUGGUCCACAGCUGAUGAUGCAGUUUUGGAAGAUGGUGAAACCUUUUGGACAUGGCACCUGGCUACCAGGUAAUAAGGUCAAAGGAACAGGCUUGAGGGUUCUAGAUCAGCCCUACAUUUAACCCGAGCUCUCUGCUGCUUGUUAUUUUGCUUUGUUAUGAAGCAAAAUAAAUUCUUUCCUUCUUCAGUUGCUUCCAUGUAGCAGUCUGACCCAGCAAAAAGCAUUGUCUUCAUUUGGGUUACUACUGUUAUGAUGAAGCACUGUGACCUAAGCAGCCUGGGAGGAAAGGACUUAUUUCCGCUUACACUUCCAUGUUGCUGUUCAUCAAAGGAAGUCAGGACAAGAACUCAAACAGCAAAGGAACCUGGAACCAGGAGCUGAAGCAAAGACCAUGGAGAGGGUGCAGCUUACUGGCUUGCUCUCUGUAGCUUGCUCAGCCUGCUUUCUUAUAGAACCCCGGACCACCAGCCCAGGGAUGGCACCACCCACAAUGGGCUGGGCUCUCCCACAUCAAUCAUUAAUUAAGACAAUACACUACAGGCAUGCAUAUAGGAGGAUCUUAUUGAAGAAUUUUCUCAAUUGGGACUCCCUCCUCUCCAGUGACUCUAGCUUGUUUCAAGUUGACAUAAAACUAGCCAGCACAAGCACAGCAGCCAAUACACAGCUCACACGGUGGUCCCUCAGAAAGCUGGAAUCACCCUACUUCUGCCACAGUACAAGUGAGGUGGAAAGCAGCCACGGAGAUCAUGAUAAAGCAAAAUCUUUCUACAUAUUAGAAACUAAGAAACUGUAGCGCUCUCUCCCUCCCCUGCAGAGAGGAUGCCCUGAGAAUUCACAACCCUCUACAGACUGGACUCUCUGAUUCCAUCCUCUUCUCUGCAAAGCUUUUCCUUUUACCUUUCCCAAUUCUUUUGCCUUCAAGAUCAACUUUAAACCCACCAUUGCUACAAAGCAGUCUCUGCUUGCUUUCUGUCUACAGACAUGUUGUCAUUAUCCAACUUCCAGCUCUAAGGCUGUCCAUAUCUCUAUUAGCCCCCAAUCACCUCUUGUCAUGAAGAAUUAUUUAAAGUCUGAUGUGUCUGAACACUUGUCCUUAAAUACAAAGUUCAACUAUUUGGUGAUAUAAUUUGUAUCUUAGAGCCUCACUACCCAUAGAUUGAUCCAUCAGCAAUGAUGAGUUUAUUAAGUAGCAAAAUCUCAGGCUCAACCCCAGAUAAAUGAUAUGUGUACUUUUAAAUUUUGUUUUUAUUUGCAACAAUGUCUUAUUAUGUAGCCCAAGUUGGUCUCAAACUUCAUAUCACCAUGAGCUAGUCUAUUACCAAGUUGUUUCCCAGGUAUCUAUCACUACUCCCCUGAGUCUUUAAUGUAACAAGAGCCAGUAGAAAAUCUAUUGAACACUCUGCCUUAUAGUACUUCUUUCAAAACCAUCACAUUUUAAGUAGGAGCAAUUUAAUAAAUACCAUUCAAGUUUAUCUAAAAUAGGCUGGGUUUUGUUUCCAUGUUCUGAGACAGGAUCUCACUAUGCAGCUUUGACUGGCAUGGAAUUGACUAUGGAGACAAGGUUGGCCUCAAACUCAUAGGACUUCUUGCCUGCCUUUGCCUCUGCCUAUUAAAUGCUGGAGUUAAAGGGAUAU